GGGGAAUAUUGCGCAAUGGGCGAAAGCCUGACGCAGCGACGCCGCGUGAGGGAUGACGGUCUUCGGAUUGUAAACCUCUUUCAGCAGGGACGAAAUUGACGGUACCUGCAGAAGAAGCACCGGCUAACUACGUGCCAGCAGCCGCGGUAAUACGUAGGGUGCAAGCGUUGUCCGGAUUUAUUGGGCGUAAAGAGCUCGUAGGCGGUUUGUCACGUCGGAUGUGAAACCCCAAGGCUUAACCUUGGGCCUGCAUUCGAUACGGGCAGACUAGAGGAUGGCAGGGGAAACUGGAAUUCCUGGUGUAGCGGUGGAAUGCGCAGAUAUCAGGAGGAACACCGGUGGCGAAGGCGGGUUUCUGGGCCAUUACUGACGCUGAGGAGCGAAAGCGUGGGGAGCAAAC
rnacentral:rRNA from 1 species